rnacentral:lncRNA from 1 species
CAAACACAAAAUCUUUGCAAUUUGCAAUGCAAAAGUUGCAAAUUAUGUCACGAAGAGUUUCCACAUUCUUGAACUCCUGACCAACACCCUCUAUAGAGAUUUUCCAAGCAUCAAAAAAAAUUUUUGACUAGGUUCCUCUUCGAUUGGGCUCUUGUUUUUUCGACAACUCGACCGAAUUUACUUGAGUCAUCCUUUGAAACAUUUUUGAAUCUGCAACUCCACUCAACAUUCUGGGAUGGGCCACCAUCUCUACAAUAAGUUAAACAAAAUUUCAGCAUACUAACUAACAAUUUUGUGCUUAAAAUGCACAAACUAAGAAGUGAAAUAUGCAAUACAAGACUAAUUUAAACUAAGAAUAGCAAAACAGAAAUACAUGCAAUUAUCUUGUGCAAUACCUUAUAUCAAUUACCACAUCAGCAACUUCGGUCAGGAAUGAAGAAUAACUAACAACCAUCUCGAUCACC